rnacentral:lncRNA from 1 species
ACUUAACAGCUACAAUGAGUAAUCAUAUAUUAUAUGGUGGAUUUGAUCAAUGGCACACAAUGUACAAAACUAAACUUGUGAUACCUUCUACUCAAACCGAUAAUCUCCCACAACACGAUUGUUUUUGUGUGAAUGUGCUGUACGUGUUAAACCGAACAGUGUGGUAUAUCAUAAACUGUGCACAGAACUGGAAUUUAAUUAUAUACUUCACUCAUGACCUUCAAAACAUUCUCAAUUAUUCAGUGGUCUUCGACAUGUUCACCAAAUAUUUUGUGUAUGUUACUCAACAGUUAACAUUGGCAAGUGUAAACAACAAGUGACAUAACUUUUGCUUCAUAUGAUUACAAUAAAGUUUUGAAAAUUUGAUGAGUAUGGAUUGAAUUGACAGGUGACAGUUUACUAAAUAGCCGGCUGUAUAGACACUUUGAAUAUUGUUUGCAUGAAAUUUUUAUUUUCUGACUGCAUAAUUAUCUGUUACAAUCAAAAUCACAUUAUAAUGUUAGUUAAAUUUUCUCGGUGUGGGGGUGGGGGUAGCACUUGCCCUGCUGCACUCCCCGCUGUGUACAGCCCUGUUUUAAAUCUUAUCUGCCAUUAUAAUAAGUGAUGAAAUAUUUCAUUUGUCCCAUGUCAUCUUCAUUAUUCAGUUUCUUUCAAGAAAAUACAAAAUGUGAAUCAAGUUUUUUUUGCAGAUACAUGUACGCGUCGCGUACCUAUUUUUUUACAUGCGGCAGUUUUACAUUUCAUACAACACUUUCUAUAACUGGCAGAGUAAACAGAAGUCAAAACUCUUCAACCUUUACAACUCUUACACCGGGUUGCUUUUACGUAUGCCCCAACACAGUAGGGUAGAGUACAGUAGACUGUAGAGUUUAGUAAAGUACAGUUAAGUAUAAAGUACAGUUUAGUUCAGUGCAGUAAAGUACACUCUGUACAGUACAAUACAAUACAAUGUAUUAGGGUACUGUACGGUGAGUGCAAAAAACUAGAGUACAGCAUGGUUCUAAAAUCGUUCAUAUAUAACGCUUAUCUGUAAAAACAUUCCAGGUAAUUUUGGAUGAGCUACCACCAUUACCGAAACAAGAGUGCAAAAUUUCCGCGUCUUUUCACGUGAAAAUGUAAGUGGACUCCUUUAUUGAACAUAUAGAAGUUGAUGCCGUGUGUACCCCUAAUAGAUGAUGUUAGUUCAUAGAUGUUGGCUGCUUCCGGUGUUUCAGGUCAACAUACAUAAACGGUCGGUGCCAAUGUGGGUAGCGAUGAUAACAAAAAUAAUUAACUUAGACAGUAAUACUUCCCGAUGAAGGGCCUUCGCUCGAAACGUCGAAAUUCUGUUCAAAUUUUUCAGGUAGUUGUAUCUCUACAUACUGCUGCUUUUCAUAAUGAAGGUUUACCAGUUCUUAAAGUAAUGUGAUAUUAAUAUCUGAAUUGAAGUAAAUCUCGCCAAUUAUCUCCCUCUACUGCAUGACUCAGUUGAUUAAGAAUUAGUGAGGACUAACCUCUGAUUGAUGUCCUCUUAACGCUGCUGAAAUCGGAGAUAAGCGUCGACCAUGCCGUAACUAACACUAAGCGAGAGGAGGGAAUAAAGUUUUUAGGAGCAAAGGAUACAAAAGUCUCGUGUAUCGUUUUCAUAUACUUUUAAUUAGACAAAUUACCAUGAAAGUUGGAAGUUCCAACAAAGGUUUGAGAAACUAUAGAACUGAAAUUUUGGAGCAACAAAAGGGUGGGAAUAGGUUGAUCCGCCUCUAGUGUGAAGCCCUCUCUUCUCGCAAUGAGAGUUUCAUCCAGUAUAUGUUCGACACCGAGUCAUUUUUUUGUUCACUUAUAACAAGGUAAUUUCUUUACUUUAUAUUUGUUAGAGAUGGUUCUUUACAUAUCCAUGUGUCUGAGAAGUCGUCAGGGAAAUCAGUGGGUGUGACUGUCGAGCAUGGCUAAAGAUACCUAUAUAUAUAUAUAUAAUAAUUAAAAUAGAUUUUGUAAAAUAUGAUGACGUUUCAUGAAACCAUAGUUGAACAGUGCUUAUUAGUGAUAGUGCCAGGACGUUCGCACCCAAAUAACGCGCUCGAUCCAAGUUGGGAUAAAAUCGCAAUUAAAUAAUAACAUGCAGCUGAGACUGGAUGAUUUAUUGUUAUUACUAACUAACUGCAGUACCUGUUAAUAGUUAAUAACUGUUUUACCUCUAUUAAAUUAGGGGUAAAACACAGUAUUAAUCCAUGCAUGUACACGAAAAGAAUCCCGCACAAAUAGGCUUAUAUAAUAAUUAUUUGCAAUAUAUAUUUGCGCAAGUUUAUAUCAUAAUAUUAACGCUGGCAAACUAACAUUAGGCCUAUAACAAAAUAAAUUAAGGCAUGAUAUCUGAAGAUUAUAUAAAAAACCUGUUAUUAGAAUACAUUUAUCUUAUCAACUAGUAUUCAUUGGACAUUUGUUACAUGAUGUCUGUAUAUUGUUCUACUCUAUAUAUACAUUUUAUAAAAAUGUUCAACUCCUAUUUUAAUUUUUAUUCAAUGUUAACUGGCUUAUAUCUCAGCAGGUCGUGAAUUGAACGCCUGUCCAAUUCUGCGAGUGCCCUAUUCAUUUAUUACAAUAUAUACGACGCUAAUUUCUGUCUUUUAACUAGAAAUUUUUAACCGUUAUCUUCAAAUGUAUUUCACUUGGAUUGUUGUUCUUAUCGUGUUACUAUUUUCUGAAGUCCUUGCUCAGCUGUCUAAUGCGCCCUUUGAUGACUUGGUAGAUUUCUGGGGUAAGGUUUUGUAGUUACUAAGG